CAUGUCCAUUUUGGGAGUGAAUUGGGACAGACAGAUACCGAAGCAUACUCAUCAAAUUACCAUAAACGGACAGCUCUGUAGUUCUACAAAGUAGGCAAGAGAGAGAGAGAGAGAGAGAGAGAGAGAGAGGAUGGAGGUACGAAUAAGAGCACCAGCAAAAAUCAUACUGGCCGGAGAACAUGCGGUGGUGCACGGAUCCACCGCCGUGGCGGCUGCCAUUGAUCUUUAUACCUAUGUCUCUCUGAGCUUCCUUUCUCCCUCCGAAAAUGAUCAAACACUGAAACUCCAACUUAAGGAUGUGUCCUUAGAAUUUUCUUGGCCAGUUGCAAGAAUUAAAGAUGCUUUUCCAAAUCUUGAUAGUAGUGUUGCUUCCUCUCCUUCAUCGUGCUCAUUGGAGACACAUAAAUCAAUUGCUUCUUUGGUGGAAAAACAGAAAAUUCUUGAGGCCAAUAUUGGACUUGCAUCUGGUGUCUCGGCUUUUCUCUGGCUGUAUACCUCUAUUCUUGGAUGCAAACCAGCAAAAGCAGUUGUUCAUUCUGAACUCCCUUUGGGAGCAGGUCUGGGAUCAUCUGCUGCCCUCUGUGUUGCACUCUCAGCUGCCAUGCUCUCUUUAUCAGAUUCUAUUAGUAUAGAUUUCAGCCAACGAGGCUGGCAAAUAUUUAGAGACAGUGAUCUAGAGUUGGUAAACAAGUGGGCUUUUGAGGGUGAAAAGAUAAUCCAUGGGAAGCCAUCAGGGGUUGACAAUACAGUAAGCACAUAUGGGAACUUGAUCAAAUUUAAGUCUGGUGAUUUGACACGCCUCAAGACUAACAUGCCAAUCAAAAUGCUGAUCACUAAUACAAGAGUUGGCAGAAAUACAAAGGCAUUAGUUGCUGGUGUCUCAGAGAAGACAAUGAGGCAUCCAAGUGCUAUGGUUUCAGUGUUUAAUGCUAUAGAUUCCAUAAGCAAUGAAUUAGCUACCAUUAUCCAGUCACCUGUUGCAGAUGAUCUUGCAAUAACUGAGAAUGAAGAAAAAAUGGGAGAGUUGAUGGAGAUGAACCAAGGAUUGCUACAGUGCAUGGGUGUAAGUCAUUCUUCAAUAGAAACUGUGCUUCGAACAACAGCAAAGUACAAAUUAUACUCCAAAUUAAUUGGAGCUGGUGGUGGAGGUUGCGUUUUGACCCUGCUUCCAACUUUGCUAUCUGGGACAGUUAUAAGUAAGGUGAUAGCCGAGUUAGAGACAUGUGGGUUCCAGUGUCUAAUUGCCGGAAUUAGGGGAAAAGGCGUUGAGGUUUCUUUCGCUAGAUCUUCGUGAUCAUACAUAUGCAGAUCGACACUUCAAUAUAUCUUACGGCUCAAGAUUUGAUUGUUACGAAAUGCAUACUGAUUUUGCUAUUUUACUAGAUUUAGAAUUUCACUCAGUGGAUUAGUGAGUUGGUGAAGAAUUGAAAUAGUAGAUGGCAGAGAAAAUGACUAGAAGCAGAGGUGAAGCUAAGAUAUAUUAAAGCGGGGGUGGGGUUUGGGUGAUAUGUUUAGCGUUGAAUGGCUAGCCUGCGCGCAAGAGAGUUCAUUAGUUCAAACUCACAUUUUUUUAAUAUGGAGCAAAGACUCAUUCCUCCAUUUUUCUAACUUCAUCAGUUUCAUUACUUCUAUAUGCCACUUUCGUUCAUACUUUUGUAG